AGUGAACGCUGGCGGUAGGCCUAACACAUGCAAGUCGAACGGCAGCACAGUAAGAGCUUGCUCUUACGGGUGGCGAGUGGCGGACGGGUGAGGAAUACAUCGGAAUCUACUUUUUCGUGGGGGAUAACGUAGGGAAACUUACGCUAAUACCGCAUACGACCUACGGGUGAAAGCAGGGGAUCUUCGGACCUUGCGCGAUUGAAUGAGCCGAUGUCGGAUUAGCUAGUUGGCGGGGUAAAAGCCCACCAAGGCGACGAUCCGUAGCUGGUCUGAGAGGAUGAUCAGCCACACUGGAACUGAGACACGGUCCAGGCUCCUACGGGCGGCAGCAGUGGGGAAUAUUGGACAAUGGGCGAAAGCCUGAUCCAGCCAUACCGCGUGGGUGAAGAAGGCCUUCGGGUUGUAAAGCCCUUUUGUUGGGAAAGAAGAGCAGCAAGUUAAUACCCCGCUGUUCUGACGGUACCCAAAGAAUAAGCCCCGGCUAACUUCGUG
rnacentral:rRNA from 1 species